rnacentral:lncRNA from 1 species
CGGAAAGGACACUUGUUUACAGUCUGGAAGCUGGAACAAGAAGGCAGAGUGCCGUCUUGUUCAGCCUCAGCUGGGAACGUGUGCUACAGUGACUUAACUUUUCCCGUGCUCUGCACGUGUCCUUGAAUGACCAUGACGCGCCCUGGGUAUUGAUGCCGGGGUUACAGGUAAGUUUUAGCAAAUAGGCAGAUUCACAGAUCCAUAGUGUAUAUCCCUGUGCAUUAGAUACACACACGCAUAUUUAUGUUUUGAGAGAGAUUUUAACCAUCUCAAGGCAAUCAGCAUUAUAAUAGUUGUGUCUGUUUGGCCCUCUGGAGAUGGAGUUCGGGGUGUAGAUGUUUUAAUGGGGGAGAAGACCUGAGAAAGGUAAAUGGGGGACAGGAUUGAGUACGGAAAGCCUCUGGACCUUGAAGCAUAUCUGAUAAAGUUUGGAGCAGCCAGACGCUGAGCUUUGGAGCAGACGCUACCUGUUAGUUAGAGAGAGAUGGCCACGCUCAGUCAUGGGGCAGCUCAAGAAGAGCAAAGCCAGGGUGGAUUAGCAAAUUCUUUCUUGAAAGGAAAUUAGGAGUUUUGCGCCUCCACACUGUUACAGUUGGUAAACCAAACUUUUGAUUUCAGUUUUAUAUAUAAAAAAAAUCUUUUGCACCCAUAUUAAGUUGAACUGAUCAAUGUGGCUGUUUUUGAUCAAAAGUCGUCAACUACUGUCAGUGUCUAAUGGUUCAACUCAACAGAAUCUUUUCAAGGUGUAAUGAUGCUAUUUGAAAUGAGGAUAACACCACUGUCAUCUUCGCUAGUUGAGGAACUCCACCGUACCUCAUCUGAAACGUGAUUUGCCUCACAGUGGAAGCCAGUCAAUGGCAUCCGAACUCACUGAUGAUUCUUGGUUGGUUGGUUGGUUGGUUGUAUUUGGAUGGCCCCCUGCCCCAGAUUAUGGUGGAAAGGGAAUCAAGGUAUUAAAAAAAAAAUUGAGUUUAUGAGUAGGUGUUGCUGGUGUGUAUAUAUUUAAGGUUGUUUUCAUCCAUGAAAAUGAGCUUUUUCUGGGCAGCUCCUUCCUUUUCCUUCAGGUUUUGUGAGUGCUGAAUACUGAAGUCCUGUAUUAAAAUUCCAUUAUUGGGGGCCGGCCCUGUAGCCAAGUGGUUAGGUUCACGCGCUCCACUUCGGUGGCCCAGGGCUUUGCUGGUUUGGAUCCUGGGCGCAGACCUGGCACCACUCAUCAGGCCAUGCUGAGGUGGUGUCCCACAUGCCACAACUAGAAGGACCUAUAAUUAGAAUAUACAACUAUGUACUUGGGGGCUUUGGGGAAAAGAAGAAGAAAAGAAGAUUGGCAACAGAUGUUAGCUCAGGGCUAAUCUUAAAAAAAAUAAAAUUCCAUUAUUGAACAAAUGUUUUAAGGAGAAACAACAGCCUUAUGACUACAGCUUCUGAAGUGAUAGGAAUAUUAAGUAACAUUAGGUUGAACAUGUAACCACCAGUGUAUGAAGUAAAUAACUUCUCAACUUGGUUUUAAAACCAAAUGAACAUAGUUCAUUUCAUUAAAAAUAUCCAACUGAAAAAGGAUGGGUGGCAUCUAAUGGUAAAGUGCUUUAUUCCUAUAUAGAAUUCAUAUAGAUAAGUUCUAUAAGCAAUUUGAUCUUUUCUCUUUCAGGUGAGAUAAAUCCUGAGAGUCAUUCUUUUUUUUGGUGAGGAAGAUUGGCUAACACACCAAUCUUCCUCUUUUGUAUGUAGGUCGGUGCCACAGCUUGGCCGCCCAUGAGUGGUGUAGGUCUGCACCGGGGAGCCAAACCUGGGCCACAGAAGCAGAGCACGCUGAACCUAACCACUAGGCCACAGGGCCAGCCCCUGGGACUCAUUCUACCACAAGAAGUUGCAGAAAUAGUGCGAGAGGUCCUGCGUGCCGUCCCCCAGCUUCCUCCAACAGUGGCAUCUUACCUCAUCUUUGAGCAGUAGGGAAACAGGAAGUCACCGUGGUGCCAUACAGUGAACUCGUCCACAGUCCUUACGGGGAGUUCACCAGUGUGUGCGUGUACUCAUUUGUGAGGUACAUUUUAAAGAUGAGCGUGUGUAAUAGCUUCUCUUUCAAAGCUUAAAUGGAACAUACGUUGAGCAGAAGGGGACAGAAUGAGUUGGGGGCGAUACACAAAAACCCAGUAAUCAUCAGCUUGACUUUUCUUUUUUUUUUGGUGAGGAAGAGUUGCCCUGAGCUAACAUCCAUGCCAAUCUUCCUCUAGUUUGUAUGUGGGUCCCCACCACAGCAUGGCUGACAAGUGGUAUAGGUCUGCACUGGGGAUCCCAACCUGUGAACCCGGGCUGCAGAAGUGGAGUGCGCCAAACUUAAAGACUGCGCCAUGGGGCUGGCCCCACCUUAACUUUUCUUAGUAGCCAAAGUGGAUGGGACAGGUGACAGCACCCCAGGAAG